ACAGGAAUAAGCAGCUCUUUAGUGCUUUACUUUUUGAAUUACAAAAAUGUACCAGUUUAAAAAUCUAAACAAUAGAUAAAUAAAGUACAAAGCUUAAGUGUCCCUCCCCCAUUCCAAACACCUCUCUCCAGGCCUGGUUGAUAAAUGAUGUUGUUUUAGCUAUUCCAUCAGCCAAAGUUCAUCUCAUUUACUGUUCACAAUGACCCUAUGAGCAUCAGGUCUUAGUUGCGGCAUGUGGGAUAUUUGAUCUUUGCUGUGGCAUGUGAGAUCUAGUUUCCUGACCAGGGAUUGAACCCCAGGCCCCCUGCAUUGGAAGGCAAAGUCUUAACCACUGGAGCACCAGGGAAGUCCCCCAAAGUAUUAUUUUUUUAAGCUCUCUGUUAUGAGUUAAGGAGCCUGUCUCACAAGUUCCUCCAAUCAUGUCCUGGCCGCUUUCUCCAGUCUGGAUGAGCUCCUGAGAAAACUAAAAUGGAUAAAAUGGGGUUUGUGUUAUUGUGAGCCUGCAAUUUGCUUCCUCCUUCAUAAAAUACUAGCCGGACGUCCAGUAUAUGAGCAUCAGCAUCUGUAAAUCCAGCAGCAUGACCGGUGGGCUGCUCACAUCAAGCAGGCAGACACUGUUGAUUAAGCUGGAGGUCUCCUUGAUAUCAUUUCCUGGUCUCCUGGUAUCGUCUUCAACUCCCCCAGUUUCAUUGCUGCAGGCAAGUCUUAACUCACCUGGAUUCACCUGGAGGAAGGGGACUAAUUCUAUCCACUGCUGGCAAUUAAAGAUGGCCACAAAUGCUUUUGGCCACUUCUCCCAUUGAGAAAUGGGGUCUUCUUGAAUCUGAGUGGGUUCUAGGACUUUUUGAUCAACAGAAGUUGGUGGAGGCGAUGCUGAGCCACUUUCUAGACCUAGGCAACCUCCAUUUCUGGUCUCUUGGAACACUCUCUGGGAGCCCAAGCCACCAUGCAGGAAGUUCAGACUCCCUGAGGCUGCAUGCUGGAGCAGCCAUGCCCAGCACCAUGGUCACACCAGAAGAGCUCAGUUGUCCCCUCAAGAGGACAGAACUGUGAGGGAAGUUGUCUUGAACACUUUGGACUGGGCCAUCUGCCAAC
ensembl:lncRNA